rfam:Nitrospirae bacterium 13_2_20CM_62_7 13_2_20cm_scaffold_192, whole genome shotgun sequence.
GCCCACGUAGCUCAGUUGGCAGAGCACGUCCUUGGUAAGGACGAGGUCACGCGUUCAAUCCGCGUCGUGGGCU